rnacentral:lncRNA from 1 species
GAGUGGAGUAUUAAAAGAUAAAUAAAGAAGUAAUGAAUAAAGAAAAAGAAAGAAUGAGAGAUGGAGGGAGAGGUCAAAGUGGCAUGAAAGAGAGAGCGAGUGAGAUAUAUGAGUCAUUAAAGAAAGAGAAUAUAGGUGAUAAUUACUCUUUUUAUCUUUUGAUGUAGUCUUUUUAGGAUAUAAAAAAAUAAAUUAAUAUGAGGUUUAAAUAUAAGAGACG